rnacentral:rRNA from 1 species
AUGGGUGCUCUCACCGACAGCCGCAAGCGCGUCUCCGCCGACCACCGCCUCCUUCCCUCCUUCCCUUCCUCCGCUCCAUCUCCCUCCAAGAAACCCAAGCUCGCACCCCUUCUCCCCACCGCCCCUCCCCCGCCUCUCCCCUCGUCUUCUCACAUCCCCUCGUCGACUUCCUCGGCUGCGCCGGGGCCCAAUUCCUCAACCGCCUUCGCCUCCACCACCUCCUCCUCCUCAUUUUCCUCGUUGCCCCAUAGCCGCCACCGCCGCCUUCCCCCGCCACCGCCGGUCCAGCGCUCCAUCCAUGCCCCCCUGCGACGCAUCCGUGCCUUCCGCCUCGGAAAUACCCACUCCAACUCCGAUCCAUCUUCGUAUUCUCCGUCCCCGCCACCACAACCUCUAGGCCUCGACCAGUACGUCGACCUCGUCAAUAGUGUCACGCACCCCCCGCCGCUUACUCCCCCCGCUUAUGUGCCGAGAGGGGCGAAAGCUACCGUCGAGGUGGUCGCCGUCGAUGACCUGGGAGAUAUAAAGCAGGACGAAGAGGAGCGAGAUGAGGAGGACGAGGUGAAGGGUGAGGUGGUAGUGAGGAAGGUGCCUCUGUACAAGGAUCUGUAUGAGGCGUCCAGCCGGCAGCGGGACCAUAGGCUCAGGAUACUUGAGUUUGAGGUGCGUCUUGCCGAGAAGGGCCGACUUGGACUUGAGGGGCUCAAGGAGGCCCGGCCGCAAAUCACGCCCAACAAAAAGGUGGUGCCGGAACCUUUUGUUCCUCUAACGGACAAGGAUGAGGACAGUGUUCGUCGUGCUCUUGGUGGGAAGAAUAGACGUGAGAUUCUAUCGGAGCAUAAAGCUUCAAACAUUGUCAUAACAAGAGAGAUCUUGCAGUGCUUGAAUGAUAAACACUGGCUAAAUGAUGAGGUCAUAAAUUUGUAUCUUGAGCUUCUGAAGGAGCGGGAACUGAGAGAGCCUAGCAAAUUUAUAAAAUGCCACUUCUUCAACACCUUUUUCUACAAGAAGCUGAUUAAUGGUGGGUAUGAUUAUAAAGCCGUAAGGAGAUGGACAAUGAAAAGGAAGUUAGGGUACAACCUAAUUGACUGUGAUAAGAUUUUCGUUCCUAUUCACAAGGAAGUGCAUUGGUGUUUAGCUAUCAUCAACAUAAGGGACAAAAAGUUUCAGUAUCUGGAUUCACUUGGCAGCAUGGACAUGAAGGCCCUGAAAAUCAUAGCCAGAUAUCUUGUAGAUGAGGUAAAAGACAAGAAUGGCAAACAGAUUGAUGUUCUUUCAUGGAAGCACGAAGGAGUCCAAAACCUUCCUCUGCAGGAGAAUGGAUGGGAUUGUGGCAUGUUCAUGCUCAAAUACAUUGACUUCCACAGCAGAGAUAUGGGCCUUACUUUUGGGCAGAAACACAUGCCUUAUUUUCGUCAGAGGACUGCCAAGGAAAUAUUGAAUUUGAGGGCUGGAUAA